UACGUAGGGUGCAAGCGUUGUCCGGAAUUAUUGGGCCUAAAGAGCUCGUAGGCGGUUUGUCGCGUCUGCUGUGAAAACCCGAGGCUCAACCUCGGGCCUGCAGUGGGUACGGGCAGACUAGAGUGCGGUAGGGGAGAUUGGAAUUCCUGGUGUAGCGGUGGAAUGCGCAGAUAUCAGGAGGAACACCAAUGGCGAAGGCAGAUCUCUGGGCCGUAACUGACGCUGAGGAGCGAAAGCAUGGGGAGCGAACAGG
rnacentral:rRNA from 1 species